UACAGAGGAGCCAAGCGUUGUCCGGAUUGACUGGGCGUAAAGCGCACGCAGGCGGACGCGCGCGUGGGGUGUGAAAUCUGGCCGCUUAACGGCCAGGCGCCAUCCCAUACGGCGCGACUGGAGUGAUGCAGAGGUCGAUGGAAUUGCCGGUGUAGUGGUGAAAUGCGUAGAGAUCCGGAGGAACACCGAAGGCGAAGGCAGUGUCCUGGCUGGUGACUGACGCUGAGGUGCGAAAGCUAGGGGAGCGAACGGG
rnacentral:rRNA from 1 species